rnacentral:rRNA from 1 species
GCACAAGCGGUGGAGCAUGUGGUUUAAUUCGACGCAACGCGAAGAACCUUACCAGGGCUUGACAUCCCCUGACCGCGUAUGAAAGUACGUUUUCACCCUCGGGUGACAGGGAGACAGGUGGUGCAUGGUUGUCGUCAGCUCGUGUCGUGAGAUGUUGGGUUAAGUCCCGCAACGAGCGCAACCCCUACGUUUAGUUGCUAACGCGUGAAGGCGAGCACUCUAGACGAACUGCCGUUGACAAAACGGAGGAAGGUGGGGAUGACGUCAAAUCAUCAUGCCCCUUAUGUUCUGGGCUACACACGUGCUACAAUGGCCGGUACAGACGGACGCAAAGCCGCGAGGUGGAGCAAAUCCUAAAAAGCCGAUCUCAGUUCGGAUUGCAGGCUGCAAUUCGCCUGCAUGAAGUCGGAAUCGCUAGUAAUCGCAGGUCAGCAUACUGCGGUGAAUACGUUCCCGGGCCUU